CCGGCCGCCUCCUGCCUCCCACCGUGGAGAACGGCGACAGGCGGCUGCCAAUGGACGGAUACAGACAGAGGAGGGUCAGAGAGGCGCGCGGAAGGCCGACGAGGUUGGGCGGCGCCGGAUCCAGAGUUCGGGGUGGUGCCAUGGUUGCUCGGUGAGCUCCUGCAGGGGAAGAUGGCGGGGCGAGAUUUAAAGGGAGAUGGGAGAGAGAAGGGAAAGGGAUUGGCCAGUGGGGAUUCUGCUGCUCACCGGUGAAUAUCGAGCGCUUGGGCACCAUGCAAGGCUGCGGCUGCGGGCGGUUGGAGACGCAGCCUUAGGCAAGCUGCUGCUGCUUUCGAGUGCGAGCGUCGCUCCGUCGAGUCCGGCGGAUGAAGGAUUAGGGAAGGGGCGGGUUGUGGAGACUUCGAGGCGGCUGGUGGAGGCGUUGGCCUUGUCGGAAGGCCGGAGGAGGCGACUGCUGGCGGCUCGCCAUGGCUGCACUUCACGGGAGCGGAGGUAGGCGUUCGAUUGCCAGUCCGUGUGGAUGCAGAUGAGACCCAGCCGUGAUGAACAAAUAGUAGCAGACUGUGCUGGACUGCUGGUCUUUUCCUCCUAUCUGAAUUUUCUGCAGAUGUGAUCCAGUCGUGAUAAACAAACAGCAGUAAGCCGUGCUGCUCUUUUAUCUAUCUGAAUUUUGUGCAACUCAGAUCCACCAAGGAAGAGAUGGAUGAGGCCGUGCUGCUCCUUUCAUCUAUCUCAAUUGCUAUAUGAAAAGCUCUGAAUUUCCAAUCAGCCAUGAAGGGCCGAUCAGAAGCGAGGUCCUUGCUGCUCGUGUCUCCUUGCUGGUGGCAACCGGACCUUCAGCUUGCCAGCGACAGGCAAGAAUCCGGUCAGUGGCGGCCAAAUAAGUACAGAUUACGGAAGAGACCUAAGUCCGAUCAACGCCCAGCUCCCAGUUACACGCUGCAAUUCCCACAUCCACCUCAAAUGGGAUAAGCGCUCCAGGCGAGGCGUCCCCGGCUAGGAGCAGAUCUGGAUCCCAUGGGUCCACCUCUCCCCGUUCGUUGGAUCUUUUUCCCCCAGCCGUGGCCACUCCUCAGGUUUGCUGGCUGAUGUCACACCCGUUCCAAGGCAGGUUUUUCCCAGGGGAACCUCAUGGGGUGUGUCCUACGAGGUAGAAGUUUCUUGCUCGGUUCCUUUUGUUUGGGAUGAUCCAGAUGAGAUAGUGCAUCAGUUGCUCACAGGAAGAAACCACCACAAUGAGAAUCCUCUUCUAAUCUGGCAAGUACUAUUCCUACUUGACUGACGAACAUCGUGUCUGUAGUAUCACUCGUUGUGCACUGUUGGUUAUGUUGUAUUACUUCUGCGGCUUUUUUUCAUAUUUUAACAAUGGAUUUUUGUGUUAGGAGCUGAGAUUCACUAGCUUUCAUAUUCUGCUUUAGUUUUUGAAUACUGAAAGUGCAUACCCAAUCUUAAUAAAGACUGGAAUCGAAUUGUCUCACGAAUGACUGAUAUUGAUUUUUUUAACACAACAUUUUCUUGUGAUGACACAACUUUAGUUAGUAGGUUUCGCAAAGGUCACCAAGUAUCAGUUAUCUACCAUUUAAAUCUCGAGUAGUGCCGGCACGAGGCACGAGCUGUGGGCGUGGGCAGCAGGUAGACUGCCCCUUAUGCUGAAUUUAAUUACAGUUGAAAAUUAUGCAAUCAUGAAUGCCAUUAUGAUUUGAUGAAUUUAACUACAGUUGCAGCUCUUUUAUCAUCCGAACAAUUAGUUUGAAAGGUCCUUCAAAUUACUGUAGCUGAAACUUUAAAGAUUAACCAACUAUGUUCUCCUUGAUCCUGUAAAAAAUAUUUUAUUCAUUUGAAAUUAUAUGCAGUGUUUAUGCAAGCCAAUACUAUGAGAUACUAGAAAGCAAACGAAGAAACUGAUUACUUCCAUUGUGUAAAUCAUAUUUCUGAAUGUAACCUACUUAUUUCACCAUCCUCUUUAUUUGGAUACACAUGGCUCUGUUUUAAUAAAUCCCCAGUUUAUCCUAUACGAUAUGCAGGCCCUCGUUUCUUUUAUCGGUAAUAUUUGUUUGUAUGAAAUUUUCAGUGUACAACAUAGUUUCUUUUAAAUGCUAUAGGUGUCUUUCCUGUGUCUUGAUUGGUGGUCCGCCUUGUUUUGGUUAGGAAAGAUUGUAGGUACAGAGUAGCUUCGGAGAUAUAUGUUCUUUUCUUACAGGUUAGUGCAAAGUAGGGAAUUCACAUUACUCAUAUAUACGAGUAGGUGACAGUAAUAUCCUGAAGUGCAGAGUUGUUGGGCUAAUUUACUAAUGAAACUCACUACCAUAUCCUUGGAUGUCUUGAUCACCUCAAGGGACAUUAGGGAGCUGAACUCAGGAAUGUUUAUACUAAAGGUGUAGCUAAAGCAACUUCAUGUCUAAAAACUUGAAACUUUGGCUUCCUUCCUGUGGUCGUAUGUAUUUCGUUCUUACAGCUUAUUUCUUUUUCAGUUUAGCAACAAAGGUUAGAUAAAGGCACCCAUAGGUAAAGCGAAACCUGAAAGUUUCUUUCGCUCUCCUCCCUACAGAUCUAUGCUUAUUUCCCAAUAGAUAUAGCUUCUUAUAUAAUUAAAAUAUUGUAUUUUGAGUGUGUUCGUGUUCUAAAAUCAAUAAUGGUGGUAUUCUUGGUAGAACUAAUGCAUUUCAUUAUGAUUUACUAUCUCGACUUAAAAAACAUUGACUUAUUUUACAGUCGUUGUGCACAUAUUACGCUGCUAUACGUUUUGUAGUAUUAUCCUUUUAAGAACAAGUGCCGGUGCUAUGUUUUGCUAAUCUAAAAGGUGCAGUUUAUCAUUGCCCUUCAAGUAUGGUGCCAGCAUAUAUGUGUUUUAACUUUUUGUCCCUUGUUUUGCUAUGUUUAACCUUUCAUGCCCAGCUUCUUUGAUAAACUAAUUGUCCUCUUCAAGGCCACUGACUGCAUGACGGAGAGGUUAUCAAUUGGACAGAUUUGUCCUUCAUUUCAUUACUCGGUGCUGACCUCUUUCUCUAUUUUUAUCUCAUUUGUCCAUUACACUUUUUGAAGGAUGAUAAUAAUCUGUCAACAUUGCAGAAUAGCCAUGCUUCUCUUUGUAUUCAUACACAAAUUUGAAGCUUAUAGCUUGAUUUACAUUUGAAUGACUUCGGCUUUAGUGUUUACUAGAAGAGUUGGGCGCGCUUUGCUGCGUCGUUGAUGUAAUUGGGUUUUCAUACUUUUUUUACUCCAUCUAUUUCAAAAUAUAAGGUGUAUUACUUUUUUUAACUGUCAAACCUA